ensembl:lncRNA
GUGGGACCCGGGAUCCCUCCCGCUGCCUCCGCCCCCGCCCCCGCUCCCGCUCCAUCCCUUCCGAGGACCGCGCGGCCAGGUCCCCGACCGGAUUCCAGGAGACGCGUCCUUAUCUGACGCCUGCGGGCUGAGCAGAGACGAUGCUUGGAAACAUCCGAUUCACCUGGGGAUCGGAGGCCGCGGGAACCCACCUAAACCCCGCAGGGGCUGCGCCUCUUGGGCUCCGCGGCCAAAGUCUGCCGGGCUGUCGGAGGUGGUUUGGAAGUGGCAUCGCCUAUGGCCAAGACCGCGGGUUCUGCGGACAGAGAGGAGCCCUGGGUUCGCUUUCUGCCUCAUCCAUUUUCCAGCUAGGUGACCUUGGGCAAGCAGGAUAGCCUGGAUCUUCUUCCCACGUGGCAGCUGGGUCCCAGGAAGGACAUUCUGAGAGAUCAAGCCCUGAUGUAUACGCACUUCUCAAGCCUCUGCUUGAGUCGCACUUGCCGAUGACUAAGGCCCUGGGACCUCAAGUACAAUGCUGGGAAGAAGAGUUGACCCAGACAUUUUUGCCUUGCUCCUGAUUUCAAAAGGGAUAUUUCAAACAUUUCACCUUGAAGAAUGAUAUUUGCUGUAAUUAUUUGGUAAAAACUCUUUAUCAGGUAAUGAGGCAGCUGCCGCCGUGUCCACUUCCUGUUCUGGGGCCUCAGCGUCUGAAGAGGGCAGACAGCGCGCUCAGGACCUGCCCCUGCCCCGGCCCCUUCGUAUCACGAAUUCGCUCGUCCUGGAUGGUUCAGCACUUCACAUUUUCAAAAUUUCAGCCAUUGUGUUUAUUGAAAGUGCAUCGACCACAAAACACCGCAGUUCACCUCUCUCUCUUUCUCGCUCUCUCUCUCGUGGAUGGGAAGAUUAUUCUGAAUCUAUGAAGGCAUUUAUUCACAGUGGCUUCUGAGUCAGGCUCUGCACCUACUUCAAUUUUAGAUGUUUUUCUGAAUCUCCUGUUGUGUGUGGCAGUUCAGGAACAGACACUGUGAGACGGAGAGGGGGACUCUGGAUCCGGAUUCAGGCAGCCCGGGUUCAAAUCCUAGGCUUUCCCCUCCCCGUGCCUAGCUGAGUGACCGUGGGCACGUCAUUUCACUUCCAGAAGCCUCGCCUUCGUGGUCCAUCAAAUGAAAUACUAUCUCCCUCUCCAGAGUUGUUGUAAGGAUGAGCUGAAAUGGCGUGUCUGAGCACAGCACAGAGCCGUCUCCCGUUUGUGUACAUUUCCUUCAGUUCAUGCACGUGGCUUCUUUUCCAGGUGAAUUCCAGACUUCGGGAGUUUGUAGACUAGGAAAAUCUCAAAACACAUUUUGAUGAGCAUACUUUUGCCAAGUUUUUAUUUUGCCAACUUUUAAUGUUGCCAAGUAAGAACAGUAUUAAAAAAACCAGCACAACUCACCUUCAUCCAUUUCCACUAAAUUUCAUAAAAGAAUAUUUAAAAAAAAAUCAAGAGGACAUCGUUACGAGUCAAAAAUGGAUGACGUUUAGCUUUACGAAAACCUCUCUGUAUUGCUCUUACUCAUCUUAUCUUAGAGAUGAGUGAACACUUGGUCUGCAGAUCAGUAUUUGGGAGCCGUCGCUCAUCCCGGACUCGCAGGGCUUUCCAGACUAGCGGUUCCCCGCUGUAGACGCCUCACCCCGAGGUGGGGAGGCGGAGGCGGAGGCGGAGGAUGAGCGAGCAGCACGUCUUUCGGUGCAAAGCGUAAGGAACUGCUGGGGUGUGAUCGCCGAGCCCAGGGACCUCGGGAUGUUCAGAGACGAGAGCGGUUGUGAGAAACUGAUGUGCACGAUAUAAAGUAUGUGAAGAGAACAGAGGCAGAACAUUUCCUGAGUUCCAGGUGGAAUACUGGCCGUGUUUGCAUUUUGGGUUUUUAAAAAAAGAUUGCAAGCAAGCGAUCAAAACUUGCCACAUCCGUCACUGAAGAGUGUGCGGGCUCGUGACGGUUUCACUCUGACGCAGCUCCCAAUUGCCUGCGGUUUUUCAGACACAUCCCCCUACAAUAUCCUUUGGGGUCAAAACAUUCCAUAGCUGGUCUAAGGGCAGAGGUGAAUCGUUUUUGAGAAGUUUGGGCUCACUCUGCUCAGCUGGUUUUGCUUAGGGGAGUGUGGAAAGAUCCCUAGGGGUUCUUUUCUAGGAGAAAAAAAUUACACACGCACACCACAGACACACACAUCAUUUGGGGCCUUUUAAAGUCGGGUUAACUCCUACCUGGGGAGGGAACCUCGGCCAGACGGGAAAUCUUAGUGGAUGACAAUUGAACUGCACUGACCCAUCUGGUGUCCGGAAGGAGGCGCAGAGCAGGCCUGUGCCAACUCUGGGUCCACGUGGGAGCACGCUGCCCUGUGCUGGGGGCCUGCUCCUGAGCCCCAGGUACUGCUGAUUUUGUAGAAUAAAAGUCACAAGCACUUACUAUGUGUGAGUCCUCUGUGAAGUACCUCGCUUCUAUUGUCUUGUCUAACCCUCACAUAGCAUUUUGGGCCAAGCCCUAAUCAGAAGGCCCAUUUCACAGAUGAGAAAACUGAGGCUUACACAGCAUUAGGCAAAGGUGUCCAAAGUCGCACUGCGGCCCGUGAGCGGUAGAGCUGGGACAUAAGCGCAGGUCUUUCUGAACAGUAACUACUAGGAUGUUUAGCUCCUAAAAUCUGAGGUCUGAAAUGAGUGGGAAAGGAGCUUGAACCACCCGUCUGAGGUGGCAUUUGGAAAAGGAGACCUUGCCCACCACACACACACACGCACAGGCUCUUUAAACUCUCUGAAGCACUCCUAAAACACACAGCGUUUCCCCUCCUCCCUGUAAAAAGGCAACCUAGGAAACUUGCGAGAGAAUAAUUUAGCAGCGUCUAUCCAAAGCCUCAAAAUAUUUAUGCCCUUUGACCCAGAAAUUGCCCUGCUAGGAAUCUGCGCCGUAACCAGGAUGUUCCAGGCUUCUCCGGCCCAUGGGUACAAGGGCUGUGCUCAAGCGUCACCUCCUUAGCGGACUGUCUUGCCCCGGCUUUGCCCUCAGUGACUAAAACACCAGCUGACUCACUGAGGGCCCUCCACAAAGGUUCCCGAAGGAACAGAUGAGCUUAUGUUACAUAAAUACCUCCAAUCUCAAGACUCUGCUCAGGCAGCAGAUCGAGUCUUUUACAAAUGUCCCCCUCCCUCACGCUGCUCAGGUUCCCUUGAAGUUUCCAUAAGGUGGUCCUGCUCAUCGCGCAGCACGGCUGCCGGCAGGUAGACGGGGACACUCAGGCAUGUCCCUUGAGGCCAGAGUCCACAAAGCCUGGCCUCCCCAGGACCCUCCAAGGAGCCGCUCCUGCGGUGUCACCGGAACCUGCCGUCCUCCCCAGCCCCCAGUGCUGCCUCCUUUUCGAGGUAUCCUCUUGCUGCUGGUUGUGCCAGGACUUGGGGCUCCCCCCUCAGCGAGGCGAUUUCAAGCCAGCAGGCCACCCCCUACCUGGCGUUUGCACAAACCUCUGCCUGUGAGCGCAGGCAGUGAGGAGGCGCCCCUAGUUUUGCCAGGUUCUGUCAGCGAGGCUUCUGCAGCAAAGCUGCCUGGGUCCCUGCCUGUUCCAGACUUUUCCCUGCACCCCAACAAGCGGACAUGUCCCAAGGCAUGUCCAGCCUCCAGGCUGGGGGGGACGGCAGGUCCACCCUCAGUGUCUGCAACCUGCAUUCUCCCUAUCGCAGGCCCUGCAGCUGGGCUGGUUCAGCACGAGGGCUGCCUUCUCUCCUCCAGCGGUGAGGUGAGGCGCAGGGAGGCGCACGUAUCAGAAUCAGAAUGAGAAUCUCCGCGCGGCAAGCGUGGGUGACAGAGGCCAACGAGGGCCUGCCUCCUUCCCUGAGGACACCUGCCAAGGGUGAGCCCAUGUCUCCCUGCCUAUUCUCUCUCCUCGGGGUGCUUUUUCUGCAAUCUGGACUCAGUUUUAAUGUUGUUUUCUUUUAAUCAACUUCAUAGAGGUAUAAUUUACAUACAACGAAAUGCAUCCAUUUUAAGCGCGCAAAGACUUUUGACAACUGCAUAAACCCAUGUCACCACUACUACAUUCAAGAUACAGAACAUUUCCAUCACCCCACAAAGCCCCCUUGAGCCCUCUGCCAUCAGUCUCCUCCCCCCUCGCACCCCACCCCAGGCACUGGCUUAUUUUCUGUCCUUAUGACUUAGUUUUGCCUGUUUUGGAACUUCAUAGAGAUGGAAUCAUCUUGAAUGUACUCUUUUGUGUCUGGGCUCAGUGUAUUCUUGAGAUGUUUGUAUGUUGUUACACAUAGCAAUAGUUCCUUUCUUCUCAUUGCUGAGUAGUAUUCCAUUGUCUCGUUCUACCACAGCUUGUUUACAGGUUCACCUGUUGCACUGUUUUGGCUUUUAUAAAUAGAGAUGCUAUGAAUAUAUUCUCAAAGAUGUUCAUUGCAGUCUUGUUUAGAAAUGGUAAAACAAAACAAAACAAAACAAAGAAACAAAAAACCUGGAAAUAAUCCAAGUGUCAAAAAUUAGUAGACUACCGAUCCUAGGACCAGGGCAGGAAAUAUACAAGAUAAGCCUGUAGCAUCUUGUAGUGUGAGAAAGUAAGAAAGUGCUCAAAGAAACAAACAAACAAGGAUAAACUCACAACCUUACAAGUAUGUCAAAAGGAUGAGGGAGCCAGAUGAAAGAGCUCCCAAUGGCGAAACGUGGAACAAUUUGAGGAGAAAAAUAAACUAGUAUUGGGUUACAACCCAAAGUAUAAAAUAAAUAUCCACAAGUCCAUAUUGAUAUUUGAUUGAAUAAAUUAGACAAAUCUCACGUGCAGAAGAAUUUCAAAUAAUUAUGUAG